rnacentral:rRNA from 1 species
UACGUAGGUGGCAAGCGUUGUCCGGAUUUAUUGGGUUUAAAGGGUGCGUAGGCGGCCUAUUAAGUCAGUGCUGAAAUAUCCCCGGCUUAACCGGGAGGGUGGCAUUGAUACUGAUGGGCUUGAGUAGAGUCGAGGUAGGCGGAAUUGACGGUGUAGCGGUGAAAUGCUUAGAUAUCGUCAAGAACACCGAUAGUGUAGACAGCUUACUAGGCUCAAACUGACGCUGAGGCACGAAAGUGUGGGGAUCAAACAGG